rnacentral:rRNA from 1 species
GAUGAACGCUGGCGGCGUGCCUAAUACAUGCAAGUCGAGCGAACGGAUGAGAAGCUUGCUUCUCUGAUGUUAGCGGCGGACGGGUGAGUAACACGUGGAUAACCUACCUAUAAGACUGGGAUAACUUCGGGAAACCGGAGCUAAUACCGGAUAAUAUUUUGAACCGCAUGGUUCAAAAGUGAAAGACGGUCUUGCUGUCACUUAUAGAUGGAUCCGCGCUGCAUUAGCUAGUUGGUAAGGUAACGGCUUACCAAGGCAACGAUGCAUAGCCGACCUGAGAGGGUGAUAGGCCACACUGGAACUGAGACACGGUCCAGACUCCUACGGGAGGCAGCAGUAGGGAAUCUUCCGCAAUGGGCGAAAGCCUGACGGAGCAACGCCGCGUGAGUGAUGAAGGUCUUCGGAUCGUAAAACUCUGUUAUUAGGGAAGAACAUAUGUGUAAGUAACUGUGCACAUCUUGACGGUACCUAAUCAGAAAGCCACGGCUAACUACGUG